UUCUCUUCUCUUCUCUUCUCUUCUCUUCUCUUCUCUUCUCUUCUCUUCUCUUCUCUUCUCUUCUCUUCUCCAGGGAUUAAGAUGAAUUGAGAGGUACAGCACUGCUGCACUUCAACACUUGGAAUAAUAGUGGCACAAUGUGGUCUUACACUUCUGGAAAAUUAGUGUGGCAGGUUUAGCACUGAAAAGGAAAGGACCCCUUGGUAAUUAAUAUGUCCCCAUGCUUCUUUGCUUUAAUAAAUUAUGCAGGACUCAUGGGACAGCUGUCCUAUUGCUAGACACUGUCCCCUGCUGGGCUGUAUUGGGGUCCUUCAGGGGAAUAGAUGCAAGCACUGUGUGUGGUGGGGUUCAAAUACUGCAGGACAUACUGACUCAAUGUCUGCAAGCUUAGGCAGAUGUCUCCAUCAGUCAUCCUGCAGAUGUUAUGAUCCUUGAGCAGAAGGGGUAAAAAUCUCUUCUGGUGUGUCACGUUAAAUGUAUUUUCUAGUGGUUCCAAAAAUGGGGCCUCUGGGCAAAGACCUGGGCAAAGCCUCUGAAUUCCUCCAGUUGUAGUAAAGGUCCAGUGUCACAUUACUCUUCCAACCUAAGACGACAGAAGACUAUCUCUAGGAAGAAUAUUCUCCUAACUCAGAAUUGCUUCCCAGUCAGUAAUUUUAAUAUGUGAUUCUGAGAGCUUUGUUACGGACAGCACCAAAAAAAUUUUGUUCUUGUGAUUUCAGUGGUUCUGAGAAGCAACAGCAGCACAGCCUGAGCAUGGUUUUCACCACAUUUUGGACAACAGUCCAGGCACCAAAGCCAACCAUGUGCACACUUGGAUGACCAGGUUUUCACCCUGCUCUGAUUUUCAAUUUAUCCCUGCGAGCAUAAAGUCUUUGAUUCUUUUAAAACAAAAUUUUGCUUGCUGCAGAUGAAUGGCUGCUUUUGAAGCUCAUUAGAAAAGCUAGAGGUCUUUUCUUUCAAAAGAAAACAAGAAAUCACUAGGAUAUGAGGGGUGAAAUAACUGAGGAAGAGAAGAGCAGAGCUAGAGUUAAGUUUUGAGGGGAUAAAUGUAAAAACACAAUUCCUUACCAGCUCCACCCUCUAAAUGGUAUUUACCACAGGGAAAUAUGGAUCCACCCUGGACUGAUUGUAGCAUUAGGAAAAUCCUCCAUAAAUAGCUCUGAGCCUUGCAAAAGCUGCAGUUUUCUCUUCCAAUAAUUGAUACUCUGGUGACAACUUCCGCCUGCUACUUAUGAGUCGCAGUCACCACAUCUGCUAAGGGGGAGAAGGCAACUUCUCCCUUUGCUCAUAAUGUAUUGUCUUGUCUGCAGGGGUAGUCCUAGGAGUGAAAACUUGCUACUAAGUUUGAGCACUUCUUAGAAGGUACACUACUUGGAAACGAAACCUACAAUCUCUGCUUACUCAGAGUUUUAGCAUAAAUGAAGAGGAACCACUUUAACAGUACCUGGGGAUUGGGCUAAAUUGCAUUAUUGCCUGGGAAUGAGGGUUAAUUCCAUACUGUUUACUAAAUGAAGAGUAUAACCAUGGCAACAUUCAGGACACGAUCUAUAAGGAUCUGCCAGUGGAAUUCUGAAAUUAGCAUUCAGAAGACAACCGUUUAAAAGUAGCUUGAGAACUGAAAAAGAAUGUUUCAGACUACAGUCCAUACGGGAAUACACUUCAGUAUAUGCAGCAUGAAAACUAUGCAAAAUUUAGCAGUUCAUUUUAUGCUGAUCUCAGCAGGAGACCAUUUAUAUAGAUCUUUGAUGAGUGAAAGCAUAAUGGUAUAAAUACUAAUAUCCAGUGGUGAUUCAGAUCACAUAACAGCUAUAAUUUUGUGUGAGGUAUACCUAAGAAAUAUAAAUACUACUAGCUUUUUGUGAUCAACAAUAGUGCAAAGAUAGUUGAAAUCUUUUUUCCAAGUCCACUUGGGGAAAAAAGAAAGAAUGACAAUUCUUAGACAAGAUGAAGGUUCUACUUCCUGCAUUUAAAGAAGAAAUUUGUGGGGUGAAUGAGAAAUAAGGAGAAUAAUAUAAAAGGAAGUUCUAGAUCUGAGUUGGUCCCCUGCUACCCCAGUUAAACUUUGUCUAAUAAAUACUUUUUGUUGUUGCAUGUUGUGAUGUUCUUACAGAAAUCCUUUACACAGGAAGUUGUGGUGUGGCAGAAUUAAAAUUGAUUGAAUUGUAGCUUGCUUCUUCCUGUCUCUCCACAGGUCAUUACUGUCUGGAAGAAGCCGAGUCAACACAACUACACCUUUUCUCAUUGAGUCAUGCCAGCUCUUCCUAGUAAUGCUGAUCAAAAAUAGUUCUCUGCUUUUUCUGCCUUCACUUUUAUCAGUGGUUAACAUUGCUGUUUUUGUUCAAGUCUAUGUCUUCUUUUGUGAGCAUCUGUCACUUAGCAGGACAUGCAUGUUUAUAUAAAUAAGUUCUACAAAUCAUGUAGGAAAUGUGUAGGAAAAUACAGAACUGCAGACCUAAUUUCUGAAAGUUGGCUCGAUUUUAAGCUGACCCUGCCCUCUAAACAGAUGCUCAGAACUGUGAUGGCUCUUUAUUGCUACAACACACCGCCUUGGGAUAACACACCAGGUAGUCUGGAAAUAUGGAAUACUUUAUGUGGAGUUGCCACUUCAUGUAAGACAGUGCUGAUGACAGUUGCAUCUGCAAAGAACACAGCAUCAUUUCUUUCCCUUGCUGCCCUCAUAGGUAAAUGUAGUACAUUUAGGAAGCAUUAAGUUAGUCUUCAGAAUGAUGGAUCGAUAGAAAUGAUGGAAAUGAUGCUAGUGAAAAAUCUGGCCUGAUCCCUGGCUAAGCAGACAAUCUCUUCAUAUUAUUCCCAGGGUACCUGUCCUUUAUUUCAUGUUCUCUAUAGGCUUCCUUUUGUGUUUGGGUAUGUCCAGGAGCAAGUUGUUCAUCCAUGCAGAUCUCCCAGUACUUUUGUCUGACUUCUUUUUUGUUGGGAUACAUUGCUCCUUGGAGGACCUUGACCCUUGAAGAUUAACCAGCUUUCUUAGGCCACUCUUCCCUCCAGGAUUCUAUGCCCUACUACUCUACCAAGCAGACCCCUGAAGAGGCCAAGUCUGCUCUCCUGGAGCCCAGUGCAAUGAGCUUCUUGUGCGUCCUUCUCACUCAAACUCCACCAUUUCAUGGUCACUACUUCCCAAGCUGUGUUUGAGCUUCGCAUUCCCUUCUUGUCAGCAAGAACGUGGUCCAGCAUAGCACCUCUGUCAUUGGUUCCUCUAUCAUUUGGAGAAGGAAGUUAUUAUAAGUGCAUCACAGGAACCUCCUGGUUGUUCCUCCAACCAGUAUUGGGGUGGUUGAAGUCCCCCAUAAAGACUAGGGCUUGUGAAUGCCCUGGUGUGUUUGAAACAUCUGGGGAAAUACCAAAAUUUUAUCCCUUCACAAAAUGACAAAACAUAUCCUAUUCCAGCAAUAACUCAGGAGUGUGUUAGCCAUUAAAACUAAUUUUAAAAUAACACAUUCAGAUAACUUCAAUUCAGUGUUUAUAUUAAAACCGAACAAGCAGCUAUCUGUAUUGCUACUGUCUGUUUUCAAAAAUUUGAAACUGGGAAAGACAAUUCAGAAGAUUUGUUAAAAGUAUAAAGGGAAAAGAGGAUAAUCUAGAUGAUUAUUGGGUAGCAUCCGUGUAGGCAAAAAAAUGACAACUGAUACAUAAGCUUUUAAGGGAAUCAGUAGAGCUAAUGUCUGUCAAUAUUGGUAUAGGAGAAACAGAUCUGACUACCAUUUUACUAACACACUAACCAAAUGGUGUUUACAUGACAAUACUGUAAAAUGUAAUGUUUUGAUUUCUUAAAAACAUUCUGACUUACUGCUGUGUGACACUUUUUGUAUAUUAUUGGAUAUUGAUCCAAUGAUCAAUAUGACCUGCUAAUUAGUAGAAUAUUGAGUAACUGGCAGCCAAAUACAGAGCAGUAAAUGCAGGAUCCUAACUGAGGAAGUAUAUUCAUAUUUGGGUUAUUUUAGGAAUUAUUUUUUGCUCUGUGUUAUUUAAUGCUUGUUUUAAAUUAUGUUUAAAUUUUACAAAAUUAUUAAUGAUACUCACAGAUGACCCUAAAGAUUGGAGAUAAUAAACAACAAAGAUAAGUCAUUUAUACAGAUCAGAUGGCUUUAAUAAGUUGGGGGCGAACAGCCAAGUGUUUUGUGGAUAACUAUUAAAGUAAAACAUUUGUGAACAGAGAAAGCGGCAUGUCCUUUUUACUCUUAUAUUUAUGACCUUUACAUUUAGUCUACCCAUCAAAUUCUAGCUCUUCAGAACAGUCAAAUAUGGAGCCACUGAAGGCCAGUUGAACAAGUUGUUCUAAAAGUAAAAUUCUCUAAUAAACAGCCUUUUGUUUUAGGUGAGUCUAAGCCUCUAAUUUGUUGUCCUGGGUUUCCUUGUAUAUUUUGGUUCCAAUCAUCUCUAAGAGUGUUCUGUUAUAUUACGUGCUUACACAAUUUUAUUUUGGUAUCUCUGAGUAAUGCUAAAACAUCCCCAUGCUAUAAAUUGACUCUACUUUUGAAAUUUGAGCCAGUAUUUUUAAAUAUGCCUUAUACCUUAGAUUCAUGACUACUUCUGUUACCCUUUCUCUGUCUAGCAUAACCUUUUCACAAGUACAGCUGUAACAAAAAAGGGAAUAAAACCACAUCUGUAGACAAUUCCCUUAGUCUAAUCAUCAGUCAUGUUAUUUCAAAACUAAUGCUGCUGUUCUCAUCUUCAGAAACUUAUGUUUUGCUGGAUGUAAGAAGAACUGAAAAUGCUGGUUUUCUUCCUUUUCUUUUUUUCUGUUCACAAGUUAUUAUUUGGGGAUUUGGAGGAGGAAUGAAGAGGUGCAAAGAGAUUUGUCAAGAGAGGAUUCAAGAAUACUUAGUGUAAAGGAAAGUUUGAGAGAAAAGCCAGAAAAGUCAUUGAUUCGUGUGGCAAGAUACAAAGACGUUUUUCCUCUCUAUCAAACAAAACCAUGUAUAGACUGCAGUCCAAAAGUAUCUGCAAUGAAAUGGAAACUUGAUACCAGGCUUCUCCAUCUAGUUGACUGACAUAAAAGGAUCUGAUUGCUGAAUGUUGGAAGCUGAACAAAAUCAGACUGGAACUGACUGGUACAAUUUUGCCCUAAUACAGAUCAGUUAACUACUGAAACGGUUUAAAGUAAAUUAUAAUUAUGGUCUAGUUUUAACCUCAAAAGAUAUCUGUCUUAAUAUAGGUAUUGUAGCUCAACUCGGCAAUAGUUCAGGACAGCACAGAGACUUCUGUGACAAAACAGAUCAGUCCAGUGGAUGGUCAAAGUGGAUGUUCUAGCCUUAUCUUUGAUGGGGAGCAAAGUUGUUUUGGUUCUUCCUUCAACUCUCCUACGGAUUUACUACAUAAUCCAUUUUUUUGCUGGUGGAGGCUACCAUUUGUACUGGAACUUCAGGGCAGCUGCAGCUGUUUGAGAAAGGACAUUAUCAGUUGUAAAUGGUGUAGUGUGACAAGGGAUCCAGACUGGCUAAGAAUCUACCCUAAAAAUGAUCAUGGAAGAGACCCAGCCACACAUGGAAUUUUUGCACUCCUUUUUUCUGCUUAUUCCAGUUUCUCAGCAAUAGUCUUCUGCAUUAAUAGUUUAUCUGGUGAUUCUGCAUCACUAUAUGUCUUUAGUCAUAUGGAGAAGGUGGAAUACCAUUCUGGAUUAACAGUUUUAAGAUCCUUUAUUAAGUCUUAUAUGCCUGUGUGAUUUUAAAUGCAACAAGGGUAUGUCCACAUUGACACAUGUUUUUUUAGCUUAUCCUAAACUUCCAACUUAUGUUUUGUCUUUUGUUUGUAAAGUGGUAUUUCAUCCUUUAAAUAAAAAUUGCAGAAGAAAUUAGCAAGAUUACCUUAUCAUUAUUUACAGCAAGUCGGUUCCCUCUUUGUGCAGAGAAACUAAAAUUGUAUCCUUCCUUGGCUGAAAACUUCCUUUCUGCAAGCAAUAAAAGAUGCAAAUAUCCCUUACA